CCUACGGGAGGCAGCAGUAGGGAAUCUUCCACAAUGGGCGAAAGCCUGAUGGAGCAACGCCGCGUGGGUGAAGAAGGUCUUCGGAUCGUAAAACCCUGUUGUUAGAGAAGAAAGUGCGUGAGAGUAACUGUUCACGUCUCGACGGUAUCUAACCAGAAAGCCACGGCUAACUACGUGCCAGUAGCCGCGGUAAUACGUAGGGGGCAAGCGUUAUCCGGAUUUAUUGGGCGUAAAGGGAACGCAGGCGGUCUUUUAAGUCAGAUGUGAAAGCCUUCGGCUUAACCGGAGUAGUGCAUUGGAAACUGGGAGACUGGAGUGCAGGAGAGGGGAGUGGAACUCCAUGUGUAGCGGUGAAAUGCGUAGAUAUAUGGAAGAACACCAGUGGCGAAGGCGGCUCACUGGACUGUAACUGACGCUGAGGUUCGAAAGCGUGGGUAGCAAACAGGAUUAGAUACCCGUGUAGUC
rnacentral:rRNA from 1 species